ACCGUAUAUAAAAUUGGAAGUAAAAGUUUGUAAAUAGUUUUGGAAGUAACAGUUCUGAAAAAGCUAUGGAAAAAAACUAUUGGAUAUAUGACAGUUUUGAAAAUAACGUUAUAGAACUAUCCGAUUGGCCUUAGUAGUCACUCUGGUCGUGCGUCCCUUUUCAGUGUCUACGUUUUGGGUCCUUUGUAAUUAAGCCUUUCUAACAUGGCAACGGAUAUAAUGCAAACUCAUCUCUCGUGCAAACUCUAAUUUGGACUGCAAGAUGUUGAUCUAAGGGGACACAUGACAGAGGUGGAAGGAGGGAUUUAUAAAAGUGUGAUUAAGAGUGAGCGGUUAAGUACAAAAUUACUCAAUCUCUCUGCGCUCCUUGAAUCAACAUCCUAUGAUCAAGAUUAGAGUUUUCAUAGUUUGCACGGGAGAUGAGUUUGCACUAGAUCUGUUGCCUUCUAACAUUGCCUCUCCCACUCAUGGAACCAAACAGCAACUAAAACACACUACAAAUUUACAAUCACUGACGAAUACGC
rnacentral:lncRNA from 1 species